GAGUAGGAAUGGCGCGUCAAGUACCGGCGGAUGGGAGGUUGCCGCCGGGCGAAGGGGCGGUUCGCUCCGCGGUGCCAUUAUCGCAUCCGCUA
rnacentral:ncRNA from 1 species